rnacentral:rRNA from 1 species
AUUGAACGCUAGCGGGAUGCUUUACACAUGCAAGUCGAACGAGUGGCGGACGGGUGAGUAAUGUAUGGGGAUCUGCCCGAUAGAGGGGGAUCACUACUGGAAACGGAGCUAAUACCGCAUACUAUCGGAUGAACCCAUAUGGGAUGAGCUAGUAGGUGAGGUAAUGGCUCACCUAGGCGACGACCCCUAGCUGGUCUGAGAGGAGGAUGAGCCACACUGGAACGGAGACACGGCCCAGACUCCUACGGGAGGCAGCAGUGGGGAAUUUUGGACAAUGGGGGAAACCCUGAUCCAGACAUCCCGCGUGUAUGAUGAAGGCCUUCGGGUUGUAAAGUACGUUAGGCAGAGAAGCGGUAUCUGCAGAAUAAGCACCGGCUAACUACGUGCCAGCCGGCGCGGUAAUUC